rnacentral:rRNA from 1 species
GUGACUGCGUACCUUUUGUAUAAUGGGUCAGCGACUUAUAUUCUGUAGCAAGGUUAACCGUAUAGGGGAGCCGUAGGGAAACCGAGUCUUAACCGGGCGUUAAGUUGCAGGGUAUAGACCCGAAACCCGGUGAUCUAGCCAUGGGCAGGUUGAAGGUUGGGUAACACUAACUGGAGGACCGAACCGACUAAUGUUGAAAAAUUAGCGGAUGACCUGUGGCUGGGGGUGAAAGGCCAAUCAAACCGGGAGAUAGCUGGUUCUCCCCGAAAGCUAUUUAGGUAGCGCCUCGUGAACUCAUCUCCGGGGGUAGAGCACUGUUUCGGCUAGGGGGCCAUCCCGGCUUACCAACCCGAUGCAAACUGCGAAUACCGGAGAAUGUUAUCACGGGAGACACACGGCGGGUGCUAACGUCCGUCGUGAAGAGGGAAACAACCCAGACCGCCAGCUAAGGUCCCAAAGUCAUGGUUAAGUGGGAAACGAUGUGGGAAGGCCCAGACAGCCAGGAUGUUGGCUUAGAAGCAGCCAUCAUUUAAAGAAAGCGUAAUAGCUCACUGGUCGAGUCGGCCUGCGCGGAAGAUGUAACGGGGCUAAACCAUGCACCGAAGCUGCGGCAGCGACGCUGUGCGUUGUUGGGUAGGGGAGCGUUCUGUAAGCCUG